GCAUUAAUGGGGUAGUGGUAACCUGGGUCGUUGCCAUCCGGACUUUCGUAAUCCAAAGUUCGACCCGCCGGGGGUUCGAUUCCCUCUUAAUGCA